GUGGGGAAUUUUGGACAAUGGGCGCAAGCCUGAUCCAGCAAUGCCGCGUGCAGGAAGAAGGCCUUCGGGUUGUAAACUGCUUUUGUACGGAACGAAACGGUCCUGGUUAAUACCUGGGGCUAAUGACGGUACCGUAAGAAUAAGCACCGGCUAACUACGUGCCAGCAGCCGCGGUAAUACGUUGGGUGCGAGCGUUAAUCGGAAUUACUGGGCGUAAAGCGUGCGCAGGCGGUGCUGUAAGACAGGCGUGAAAUCCCCGGGCUCAACCUGGGAAUUGCGCUUGUGACUGCAGUGCUGGAGUACGGCAGAGGGGGAUGGAAUUCCGCGUGUAGCAGUGAAAUGCGUAGAUAUGCGGAGGAACACCGAUGGCGAAGGCAGUCCCCUGGGCCUGUACUGACGCUCAUGCACGAAAGCGUGGGGAGCAAACAGGAUUAGAAACCCUAGUAGUCC
rnacentral:rRNA from 1 species